rnacentral:rRNA from 1 species
UGUAAUAAGAGAAAGGUUUCCUGUUCCAUAGCCAGAAAUAUAUGUGGCCAUGAAAUGGGGAUUAAGUGGAACAGAAUUAAUUGGGUGGUAGAGUCGUGGAAACACCCGUUUCUUCCAUAUUUUGGACCUCAACUCAUAGAACAAUAUACUACUGCUGAAACAUGGGAGAAUUGAAAUCUUAGAUUAAAACAUUAUGGAUGGAUGGUAUGAACUGCCUAAACAAGAAUUCUUGAACAGCGAACAACCAGAGCUAUUACUCACUACAUCAAAAAAUUUCCAUUAAUGAAAGAUGUAAAUCCAUUGGAAAAUAAAAAAUACGCAUGUCAGAUGAAAUAGUUGUUGCUAUUUGCUACAAUAACGAACCAUUGGUUUAACUGAAUAACUAAAUAAAAUAGAUAGACAUUUAUCUUCGUCUCAUGUUGACGAAUCUUCUUAAUUGACCCCUACAUGGAUAAUACACAUUCUAGUAGACCGAUUAAUUCUAAUUGUUUCGAAGCAAUCCACAAAGCGGUUCAUCCUAUUGAGAUAUUCACGACCAAGAAGUACUGGAUUCUCUUUCGGAUAGGCCCUAAACUGAGAUGGAAGGUUGGAAGGCCAACAGGCAUCUAUUAUUGAAUUCACCCAACCAAAGAGUAUCCAUUUUGGGAACGUCCAGCACUAAAGUCACUGAAUGGGUAAGUCGCUAAUCCCUAAAAUGGACUAUGUAAUGUACUUUAUCUGCUGGGUUACGGGGGGGGGGGGGGGGGGGGGGAGGCAUUUUACCAGAGGUUUUCUAUUCUAUCAACCUACCCCUUGUGUGAUUCCUGUUGAAGCAUAUACUCAAGGGGUGGGGUGGGUGCAGGAUGGAUGAUUUCAAAAUGGACUCAUUCAAUGAAGAUUUAUUCACCAAAUUGAGGCAAACUUUGAAUACUAGAUAUGACCUCAAAUAACAGGGGUCAAGGUCGGCCAGCGAGACGAUGGGGGAUAAGCUUCAUCGUCGAGAGGGAAAUAGCCUAGAUCACCAACUAAGGCCCCUGAAUGACUGCUUAGUGAUAAAGGAGGUAGGGGUGCAAAGACAUCCAGGAGGUUUGCCUAGAACCAGCCUCCUUUGAAAGAGUGUAUAAUAGCUUACUGAUUGAGUGCUUUUGCACCGAAGAUGAACGGGGCUAAACAAUCUGUCGAAGCUAUGGAAUGUAAAAAUGCAUUGAUAGGGAAGUAUUCCCCUAGAGGGAAGCACCCGCGAUAGCUAUGGUAGACGAAGCAGAAGUGAGAAUGUCGGCUUGAGUAAUGCAAACAUUGGUGAGAAUCCAGUGCCCCAAAAACCUAAGGGUCCUCCGCAAGGUUCAUCCACGUAGGGUGAGUCAGGGCCUAAAAUUAGGCCAAAAGGCAUAGUUGAUGGAGAACAGGUGAAUAUUCCUGUACUACCCCUUGUUGGUCCCAAAGGAUGGAGGAGGCUAGGUUAGCCAAAGGAUGGUUAUUAGUUCAAGGACGCAAGGUGCCCCUGCUUUUUCAGGGUAAGAAGGUGUAAAGAAAAUGCCCCGAGCCAAUGUUCGUGUACCAGGCGCUACGGUGCUGAAGUAUCCCAUGCCAUACUCCCAGGAAAAGCUCGAAAAACCUUCAACAAAAGGGUACCGAUGCCCGAAACUGACACAUGUUGGUAGGUAGAGAAUACCUAAGGGCGUGAGACAACUCUCCCUAAGGAACUCAACAAAAUAGCCCCGUAACUUAGAAGGAAGGGGUGCUUCUCACAAAGAGGGUCACAGUAACCAGGCCCGGGCGAUUGUUUACCAAAACACAGGUCUUUACAAAGUCCUCAAACCAUGUAUGGGGGCUGACGCUUACCCAGCGCCUGAAGGUCAAGGAAGUUGGUGACUUAAUGAGAGGGAAGUCGGCAACCGAAGCCCUGGUGAAUGACGAUGGUAACUAUAACGGUAAUAAGGUAGAAAAAUUCCUUAUUGGGCAAGUUCCAACCCACACGAAAGGCGUAACGGUCUAGGCACUAUCUCGGAGAGACACUCAGUGAAAUAAAUAUGUUUGUGAAUAUGCGGACUACCUAUGCUUGGAUAGAAAGACCCUAUGAAGCUUCACUAUUCCCCGAGAUUGGCUUUAGGCUUUUCCUACGUAGCUUAGGUGGAAGGUGAAGAAGGCCUCCUUCUAGAGGGCCCGAGCCAUCAAUGAGAUACCACUCUGGAAGAGCUAGAAUUCUAACCUUGUGUCAGGAUAUACGGGCCAAGGGACAGUCUCACGUAGAUAGUUUCUAUCUGGCGUAGGCGUGCAAAGGUUUCCUCGGGCCAAACAGAGAUUGGCCCUCAAGUGGAAAGGCAGAAGGGAGCUUGACUACAAGACCCACCUAUCGAGCAGGGAAGAAAGUUGACCUUAGUGAUCUGACGAUGCUGAGUGGAAGGACCGUCGCUUAAUGGAUAAAAGUUACUCUAGGGAUAAUAGGCUGAUCUUCCCCAAUAGCUCACAACGAUGGGAAGGUUUGGCACCUCGAUGUCGACUCUUCGCCACCUAGGGUUUGUAGUAUGUUCAAAGGGUUGGGCUAUUCGCCCAUUAAAAUGGUACGUGAUCCGGGUUCAAAAUGUUGUGAGACAGUUCGGUCCAUAUCCGAUGUGGGUGUUAGAGCAUUGAGAGGAUCUUUUCCUAGUAUGAGAGGACCAGGAAGGACACGCCUCUGGUGUACCAGUUAUCAUGCCCACGGUAAACGCUGGAUAGCCAAGUAUGAAGCGGAUAACUGCUGAAAGCAUCUAAGUAGUAAGCCCACCCAAUAUGAAUGCUCUCCUAUUAUGACUUUCCCAGAGCUUACGGUAGCACAGCUAAGACAGCAACGGGUUUUCUGCCCUUUCGGGGGUAGAGUGAUAGAAAUUUUAAGAAUUCAAGAGAAGGUCAUGGCUAGAUGAGCCAUUUAUCAUUACAAUAGGUGUCAAGUGGAACUGCAGUGGUGUAUGCAGCUGAGGCAUCCUCACAGACCAGUAGACUUGAAU